rnacentral:rRNA from 1 species
CCUACGGUGGACAGCAGUGAGGAAUAUUGGUCAAUGGGCGUAAGUCUGAACCAGCCAAGUCGCGUGAGGGAUGAAGGUUCUAUGGAUCGUACACCUCUUUUAUAAGGGAAUAAAGUGCGGGACGUGUCCCGUUUUGUAUGUACCUUAUGAAUAAGGCUCGGCUAACUCCGUGCCAGCAGCCGCGGUAAUACGGAGGAUCCGAGCGUUAUCCGGAUUUAUUGGGUUUAAAGGGUGCGUAGGCGGCCUUUUAAGUCGGCGGUGAAAGUCUGUGGCUCAACCAUAGAAUUGCCGUUGAAACUGGGAGGCUUGAGUAUGUUUGAGGCAGGCGGAAUGCGUGGGGUAGCGGUGAAAUGCUUAGAUAUCACGCAGAACCCCGAUUGCGAAGGCAGCCUGCCAAGCCAUGACUGACGCUGAUGCACGAAAGCGUGGGGAUCAAACAGGAUUAGAUACCCUAGUAGUC